UGGCUCUCGCAUCGAUGAAGAACGCAGCGAAUUGCGAUAAGUAAUGUGAAUUGCAGAAUUCAGUGAAUCAUCGAAUCUUUGAACGCACCUUGCGCCCUAUGGUAUUCCAUUGGGCACACCUGUUUGAGUGUCACGUUAAUCUCUCACCUCUUGGGCUUUCCUCGAGGUGGAUCUGGGUGUUGCCGUCGUUGGCUCACCUUGAAAUGCAUUAGCUAUCUGUCCUUUUGAAAAACAUGUGACCGUUGGCGGUGUGAUAGUAUUUGAUCUGCAUCGUUGGUUACGUUUUGGAAGGAGGCUUCUAGUCGUCCAUUGUGGACAUUAUAUGUGAACCUUGACCUCAAAUCAGGUGGGACUACCCGCUGA
rnacentral:misc_RNA from 1 species